GCACAGUGCAUUCUUCCAUCACAUGCACAGUGCAUUCUUCCAUCACAUGCACAGUGCAUUCUUCCAUCACAUGUACAGCUGCUUCUCAAGAUCUUGCACACUACUGAGAUACUAUUGAUCCCACACUACUACACUGUCUGAGCCAAGGACUACAUGCUUUCUGAAAGUUUCCACCUCUGAAUAUUCCCCAAAAUGUGCAACCCUACUCACCACAAAGCUCAAGGCCCUGGGACUGAACUCCUUCCUAUGCAACUGGGUCCUGGACUUCCGGAUGGGCCACCCCCGGGUGAUGACGAUAGGCAACAUUAACCCCGCCACAAUGAUCCUCAACAUGGAGGCCCCACAACGUUGUUUCCUCAGUCCCCUCCUGUACUCCCUGUAUACCCACUACUGCAUGGCUUCACACAGUUCCAACUCCAUCAAGUUCCCCGAAGACUCGACAGUAGUAGUCCUGAUUACCAACAACCUCAGGAGGCAAAAGAAAUUCAAAAUGUCCCAGAGUGCCCUCAAUGUUCUACAGAAGCACCAUUGAGAGCAUACUGACGGGCUGCAUCACAUCACUGCAGCUCCACCGCUACUGAACAUUUGUAAACAUGAGUAUAUUAUUAUUAUUUUUGUAUUAUUGUUUCAUUCACACUCUUGGAGCUUUAGUAUUUCACUGUACACUGCAACUACAUCUGCGACCC
ensembl:lncRNA